CCUACGGGUGGCAGCAGUGAGGAAUAUUGGUCAAUGGGCGGAAGCCUGAACCAGCCAAGUCGCGUGAGGGAAUAAGGCCCUACGGGUCGUAAACCUCUUUUGCCGGGGAGCUAGGGCGGGGACGUGUCCCGGCCCGGAGAGUACCCGGAGAAAAAGCAUCGGCUAACUCCGUGCCAGCAGCCGCGGUAAUACGGAGGAUGCGAGCGUUAUCCGGUUUUAGUGGGUUUAAAGGGUGAGUAGGCGGGCUUUUAAGUCAGGGGGAAAAAUUCGGGGCUCAACCCCGUCCGGCAGUUGAAACUGGGGCCUUGAGUGGGCGAGAAGAAGGCGGAAUGCGUGGUGUAGCGGUGAAAUGCAUAGAUAUCACGCAGAACCCCGAUUGCGAAGGCAGCCUUCCGGCGCCCUACUGACGCUGAGGCACGAAAGUGCGGGGAUCGAACAGGAUUAGAUACCCCGGUAGUC
rnacentral:rRNA from 1 species